CACCAUGACAUAUUCCAUCCAUAACCAGGUAUUCACCAUGACAUAUUCCAUCCAUAACCAGGUAUUCACCAUGACAUAUUCCAUCCAUAACCAGGUAUUCACCAUGACAUAUUCCAUCCAUAAACAGCAGCCCAGGUAUUCACCAUGACAUAUUCCAUCCAUAACCAGGUAUUCACCAUGACAUAUUCCAUCCAUAACCAGGUAUUCACCAUGACAUAUUCCAUCCAUAAACAGGUAUUCACCAUGACAUAUUCCAUCCAUAACCAGGUAUUCACCAUGACAUAUUCCAUCCAUAACCAGGUAUUCACCAUGACAUAUUCCAUCCAUAACCAGGUAUUCACCAUGACAUAUUCCAUCCAUAAACAGCAGCCCAGGUAUUCACCAUGACAUAUUCCAUCCAUAAACAGGUAUUCACCAUGACAUAUUCCAUCCAUAAACAGGUAUUCACCAUGACAUAUUCCAUCCAUAACCAGGUAUUCACCAUGACAUAUUCCAUCCAUAACCAGGUAUUCACCAUGACAUAUUCCAUCCAU